CCCAUUGUCAGUUUCUUCACUAAAAAAGUAGUUGAAAAUGUUACUUCAUGAAGUUUCCGUGACUGAAAUAGUUCGGCAUUACCCAAAAAUUACAGUUCAUAAAUUAAAUAGGUCUAAUUAUUUAGACUGGAGUAGGAAAAUCAGGGUCUACUUGCGUAGUGUUGAAAAGGAUGACCAUCUUAGUGAGGACCCUCCAACUGAUGAAACUAAAAAGUCUUGGAUGAGAGAUGAUGCUGGACUGUUCUUGCAAAUUAUAAACUCUAUUGACAAUGAAGUAGGUGGUUUGGUUAAUCACUGUGAAUUUGUUAAAGAGUUAAUGGAUUAGCUAGAGUAUCUAUAUUCUGGCAAUGGUUAUUUGUCUCGAGUUUAUGAAGUUUGUAAGGCUUUCUACCGUCCUGAGAAGGAAGAUAAGACACUCAUCACAUACUUCACGGAGUUCAAGAAAAUUUAUGAGGAGUUGAACAUGGCUUUUUCCGUUCAGUACUGAUAUCAAGGUGCAACAAGCUCAGAGGGAACAAAUGGCAAUAAUGAGUUUCUUUGCGGGACUCCCAUCUGAGUUUGAGACUGCUAAAUCACAGAUACUCUCCAGUUCUGAGAUCACUUCUCUCAAAGAUGUUUUCAGUUGGGUGUUGCGUACGGAGAGUACAUCCAAUCAGCAAACCAAUGAACUUGUUGCAAAAGGAGAAGAAAAAAAUGAUGCUAGAAGAAACUGAGUUAAUUCUUUUGGCUGUCUCCUUCUCUUAAACAAUUUAGUCCGUAAUCUGCAUCAAUUUUGUUACCUCGUGGCACAAAUGUUUAAAAAAAACUAUUUGUGAACCUGUCCAUAAUUCAUAGAUGUAACACGUUAUGUUAAUUGCAGCUUUAGACAUAUUCAGAUAGCCAAAAUCAUGUGACUGGACUCCGAAUAGUUGUUCCUACGUGUGCGCCUCUUGCAAAUGCACAACUAGAAGACAGAAACAUAGAUAACCUAUGUGGUUCUCCGAUUGUAUUCUCCUAUAAUAAAAGAUCCUUCUAUAACAAAGAAAACAACGUGGAGCCCAGAUCAGAAGAAGAAUCUUGUAAAGGAGAAGAAAAAAAUUAUGCUAGAUGGAACUAUUUGCUUCAGACAAUGUCAGAAAGCUUUUUCGCUGGAAGAGAAACUAAUGUUGAAGCUGCUGCAAAGGUAGUGCACCCUACUUCAACAUAUUCAGACAGCCAAAAUCACCGAAUUUUUGUGCCUAGGUGUGGCCUCUUGCAAACGCAGAAGACAGAGGUUUGUCGGUCAAAUGUGUUGCAUGUACGCCAUGGCAUACAGCUGCGGAAUCUUAUAAAGGAGCUGAUCAUGGCCAAGCUGGGCAAAUAACAUCAAAAGUUGAAUGGGUGGAACAGUAUCAGCUCGGUGUCUACGUUACAUUGACAGUGCUGCCAAGUGGAAAGAAUGAACUCAAGCGAGUCUCGUUAAGUACCAAAAAGUUUACUGAGAAGGAAGCAGAGAAGUGGUGGGAAGAAAACCGGCCUUUUGUCUACAUGGUUUAUGAUAUUGAAGAAUAUGACAAUCUGAAGAAGUAGCAGUUUCCUUUGUCUUUCCAAUGUGAACAUGAUUACACUAUUGGUUCAUGUUAAUCAUGUUAGAGAAGGUAUUUAAUCACUCAAUAUU